ACGCAGAGGUGGCUUUCUUGGUCCGGCUGUGGUGAGACACAGGCCGCGACCCACCCACGGGGCCAGCGUCACUUAAGGUGCGCUACUGACCGUUACUGACAACAUUAUUAGCUCCCCGUUAUUUGGCCAGAGCAGUGUUGAACGAUGACCACGGGAACUGGAGCGGAGGUCUACAGCCCGCUGCGCAGCCUACACCGCUGCUCGGAAGCACACGAUCCAUCUAUCGCAGUGCCCUGGGAGUUCCGUGGUUCCUUCAGCUCUUUCAUACCAUGGUACUCCAUUGGCUGCGCUAGUGGCACGUAUUGUGAAAAAUAAGCUAUUAUGCAAUAGCUGUGCUAGCAGCAUGUGUGGUGACAAAGUCUUAUGUAUUAAAACCAACGAGCACUUACGAUUAUUUGAACCAACUUGAGAGGAACUUGAGCCACCUCUCUGCUGCUGGCAGUUUUGUAGCUCUGGUUGUCCUCAUCAGAUCCAAAAAAUGAUCCAAAAUAGUGUCUUGCAUCCAUCCCUUAUCCUUGAUUUCUUGACUUUCCUGUCUGCAUUCCUUCUGGGUGGGUGAUGGUCACAAGCACAGAUCCUCAUUACUUUGCACAUGCUUGUCAACAUUUGCAAGAAGUAAAAUGUGCUGGAAUGAGUGAGAUAUACAGUGUUGCUAACAGCUUUCCACAGAAGACAGAAGUCUCCUGGCUAACAUAUGCUUAUUUAAAAUAUAAGAAAAUGCAGUUAAAAGGGAAAAUCAGAAAAGCCUUGCUGCUUCAUUAGGAUUUCACGCGGCCCUGUUUGGCCCCUGACAUUUACAACUAGGGCACAAAUACAAAGAGAUUGGCCUGCAAGAAAAAUCAUGAACUCCUGCACCAAAGUGGUGCUCUCCUUGGUGGAAGCAAGUCUGACCUCAAGGUAGUGACAGCUGUUCAGCAGCUUCUGCUUCCAUCGUGGGCCACGUUCCUGAGGCAUGAUAUACCUUCGAUACUGUCCCUACGGGCAGGACACACACUACAGCUGGCAGCCUCGCCCUACAUUGUAUGUUUGUCUCACUCUACAUUAUCACAGAAACAUUGUAUGUUUAUCAACUGUUUAUCUCAGUUUCUUCUUAGAUAUUCCACUCCAGUCUGUAGUUACUGCCACUUUCUCAAAAGAAGUCUUUCUGCACUACAUCCAGUGGAGAAAUCCCACUGGGGAAUCAAAGUGCAAUCCUUACAA